CCUACGGGAGGCAGCAGUGGGGGAUAUUGGACAAUGGGGGAAACCCUGAUCCAGCGACGCCGCGUGAGUGAAGAAGUAUUUCGGUAUGUAAAGCUCUAUCAGCAGGGAAGAAAGAAAUGACGGUACCUGAGUAAGAAGCCCCGGCUAACUACGUGCCAGCAGCCGCGGGAAUACGUAGGGGGCAAUCGUUAAACGGAAUUACUGGGUGUAAAGGGAGCGUAGGCGGGAAUGUAAGUCUGGAGUGAAAGGCGGGGGGCCAACCCCCGGACUGCUAUGGAAACUGGGUAACUGGAGUGCGGGAGAGGCAGGCGGAAUGCGUGGUGUAGCGGUGAAAUGCGUAGAUAUUAGGAGGAACACCAGUGGCGAAGGCGGCCUGCUGGAUUGUAACUGACGUUGAGGCUCGAAAGCGUGGGGAGCGAACAGGAUUAGAUACCCUAGUAGUC
rnacentral:rRNA from 1 species